UGCCAGUUUACCACUGGCACUGCCCUCGGAUCAAGAGAUGAAAAGUGGAGUCGUUUGUCUGCUUCGACCAUGAGGAACGCGUGGCCGACGCUUGUUUGAUGUAAUAUCCGUGAAGACGCAGGCAGUAGCUCGUAUUAGCUGACAAACGUGAAGAUCAGUUUCUGGACCUCACCACCAUCGGACAGCAACAGCGUUCUGUAUCUGUUCAGUAGCUUCGUGCAUCGAUGUUACACAAACUACAAUGAAAGGAUUUUAAAUGUGUUAGCCGGCUGUUAUCGCGGAGUUUAACACAAAUUGGUGCUAAGGUACCGAACUUUAUAUAAUGUAUACUACUACUACACUCCAUAUAAUGUAGGUCUGAGCCCUUAAACGAUUCCUGUGCCGCUUGUUGAGCGCUUGACGACUGAUGAUGCUAGUAACAGCUAAUUUCGGUCUCGGUCUAAGUCUGAGACGUUGCACUGCUGACUUCGUUGGACGUUGCGGACCAUUCGUGCAAGAGGAUAACACUGGUAUAUCCAUCAUGAUCGGAACAAUACUUAACGGGAUAUUCAGACACGUUCCUGAUACGUACCUCAUUAUCUUGAUAUGAUAAGUAUCAUAUCAUUAUCUAAUGACAAUUUGAGAAGCACUAGGGAAAGCCCUGCUUCUUACUGAUGCGGCGAUGGGAAUACUACAAACUGAGGUUGAUGGACCCGGGCUUAUCAGUAGAACUUCAAUUUAGUGGUAUACGAUCGGAUUUGAGCACUUUUAUCUAACAGAAAUGAACGCAGGAAGAAAAACAGCUUUUCGAGCCGAAAAUCAACAUUUAGCGGUUAAGUUUUUGCCGUUCAAAGGGCCGCAGCGUUACGGAAAUACAUCGAAUAUUGGUAAAGACAUGUGCGAAUGAAUGGAGACCGCAGUGCUGAAGACCGGUGAGGAAGUGAUCGGAUGUCGGCGCCUGAAAGACGAAAAUGCGUUGUUACAAUCGAGAAAGCUCUUUACGAAAAUAGAGCUUGGGGUCAAAGGGUUCCGCCAGUCAAAACUGGCAUUUCAUUAGUAACAUGUUACAAGAUUAUAAUCAAUCAAAUACUGAAAAAUUGCAAACGGAGUAAAAGAUCGAUCCCCGUGAGUUGACACCGGGUUAGUUGUAUUAAGUGUAUGUAGUGUAUUUUACGUACAAUUUACGAAAUUCUAAUCAACGAAAAACCCUGGAACCUACAAUCGCCAUCGAGGAGGCACGAUUUAGUCCCGACAGCCGCUCGGAAAGGGGAAUAGGCGAGAGAAUGGCGUCGCCCUAGAAUGUGUUCAAACUCGAGGCAAUGGUAGUACUUACAAUAAAAAUCCGGGGCAUCUCCUACUGUAAGAUAUUCACUGAAAAUUAAACAACAAGUGCAGCCCGCCAUCUUGAAUUACCCAAGAGACUCACAGAUUGCAAAUAGGGUCUGACCAGGCUGCGUGCUAUCAACUGAUAGCACGCAGCCUGGUCGUUUGAUGACAGCGUCAAAGUUCACCGUCAAGUCUCAAAUUGUUUUCAGAUUUAUCAAGGGAGUAUCCAAGAGUACGGCUUCAACCCGCUUGUUCUACCGAUCUAAGUCCGUGUCUAUGGAGCUUUCCAUGCCCUAGAGAAGACAACUGUUGGGCAAGCUUAUAUUGUUAUGCAUUUAUUCCGAGAAGCAAUAGAUAAAGAAGUCGCAAGUGAUAGGUAUUUUACUGCCCAAAAAAGGCGUAGAGCGCUCGGAUACAUUUUCAAAAAAUAAAAUAUAUCAAAACACACAUAUAAAAAAUCGUCGUUGUAGUUCAGAAGCUAUUCAGUUUCAAAGUCUACCAAAAUCGUUAACAGCCCAAUAGAUAAAAAAACUAUUCAUGGGCUCAUUAUUCAUCCGUUUAAGGAUCGCUUCAGACUCCACAAAUCUUACCACACAAAUUCUUGUAUACAACCUCCCUGAGACUGUAGUAUUCUUUGCUCUUAUUUCCGUACCUGAUUUUCUUUUUACUAAAUAAUUUUAUACUCAAUAAAAUUUCACUUUAUUAAAUAUAAACAUUAUCAAAGCAGUGUUAAAAUUUAAUAAAUUUUUUACCCACCCGUUUGAGUUAGCAUGAACUAAGUAGAA